rnacentral:rRNA from 1 species
UGGGGAAUAUUGGACAAUGGGCGCAAGCCUGAUCCAGCAACGCCGCGUGGAGGAAGAAGGUCUUCGGAUCGUAAACUCCUGUCAGGGGGGACGAAGGUCCGUCGGUGAAUAGCCGGCGGGCUUGACGGUACCUCCAGAGGAAGCCCCGGCUAACUCCGUGCCAGCAGCCGCGGUAAUACGGAGGGGGCGAGCGUUAUUCGGAAUCAUUGGGCGUAAAGGGCGCGUAGGCGGCUUCGCAAGUCAACGGUGAAAUCCCUCGGCUCAACCGAGGAAUUGCCUUUGAAACUGCGUGGCUUGAGGCCGGGAGGGGGCGGUGGAAUUCCCAGUGUAGCGGUGAAAUGCGUAGAGAUUGGGAGGAACACCAGUGGCGAAGGCGGCCGCCUGGACCGGUUCUGACGCUGAUGCGCGAAAGCGUGGGUAGCAAACAGGAUUAGAUACCCUGGUAGUCCACGCUGUAAACGAUGGGUACUCGGUGUCGUGGGUAUUGACCCCCGCGGUGCCUUAGCUAACGCGUUAAGUACCCCGCCU